rnacentral:rRNA from 1 species
GACGAACCGUGCGAACGUUAUUCGGAAUCACUGGGCUUAAAGCGCGUGUAGGCGGGCCGCCGCGUCGGCUGCUGAAAUCCCCCGGCUCAACCGGGGAACGGGCACCGAUACGGGCGGCCUCGAGGGGGGUAGGGGGGUCUGGAACUUCCGGUGGAGCGGUGAAAUGCGCAGAUAUCAGGAGGAACACCGGUGGCGAAGGCGGGUCUCUGGGCCGAUACUGACACUGAGGAGCGAAAGCGUGGGGAGCGAACAGG